UCCCAUGUGGUCUAGUGGUUAGGAUUCCUGGCUCUCACCUAGGCGGAAAGGGUUCGAUUCCCGGCAUGGGAA
rnacentral:tRNA from 1 species